UUUGAAAAACGAAUCAAAGAA
rnacentral:piRNA from 1 species